GGUUAAGCGACUAAGCGUACACGGUGGAUGCCCUGGCAGUCAGAGGCGAUGAAGGACGUGCUAAUCUGCGAAAAGCGUCGGUAAGGUGAUAUGAACCGUUAUAACCGGCGAUGUCCGAAUGGGGAAACCCAGUGCAAUUCGUUGCACUAUCGUUAACUGAAUACAUAGGUUAACGAGGCGAACCGGGGGAACUGAAACAUCUAAGUACCCCGAGGAAAAGAAAUCAACCGAGAUUCCCCCAGUAGCGGCGAGCGAACGGGGAGCAGCCCAGAGUCUGAAUCAGCUUGUGUGUUAGUGGAACGGUCUGGAAAGUCCGACGGUACAGGGUGAUAGUCCCGUACACCAAAAUGCACAGGCUGUGAACUCGAAGAGUAGGGCGGGACACGUGGUAUCCUGUCUGAAUAUGGGGGGACCAUCCUCCAAGGCUAAAUACUCCUGACUGACCGAUAGUGAACCAGUACCGUGAGGGAAAGGCGAAAAGAACCCCGGCGAGGGGAGUGAAAAAGAACCUGAAACCGUGUACGUACAAGCAGUGGGAGCACCUUCGGGUGUGACUGCGUACCUUUUGUAUAAUGGGUCAGCGACUUAUAUUCUGUAGCAAGGUUAACCGUAUAGGGGAGCCGCAGGGAAACCGAGUCUUAACUGGGCGUUAAGUUGCAGGGUAUAGACCCGAAACCCGGUGAUCUAGCCAUGGGCAGGUUGAAGGUUGGGUAACACUAACUGGAGGACCGAACCGACUAAUGUUGAAAAAUUAGCGGAUGACUUGUGGCUGGGGGUGAAAGGCCAAUCAAACCGGGAGAUAGCUGGUUCUCCCCGAAAGCUAUUUAGGUAGCGCCUCGUGAACUCAUCUUCGGGGGUAGAGCACUGUUUCGGCUAGGGGGUCAUCCCGACUUACCAACCCGAUGCAAACUACGAAUACCGAAGAAUGUUAUCACGGGAGACACACGGCGGGUGCUAACGUCCGUCGUGAAGAGGGAAACAACCCAGACCGCCAGCUAAGGUCCCAAAGUCAUGGUUAAGUGGGAAACGAUGUGGGAAGGCACAGACAGCCAGGAUGUUGGCUUAGAAGCAGCCAUCAUUUAAAGAAAGCGUAAUAGCUCACUGGUCGAGUCGGCCUGCGCGGAAGAUGUAACGGGGCUAAACCAUGCACCGAAGCUGCGGCAGCGACACUAUGUGUUGUUGGGUAGGGGAGCGUUCUGUAAGCCUGCGAAGGUGACCUGUGAGGGUUGCUGGAGGUAUCAGAAGUGCGAAUGCUGACAUAAGUAACGAUAAAGCGGGUGAAAAGCCCGCUCGCCGGAAGACCAAGGGUUCCUGUCCAACGUUAAUCGGGGCAGGGUGAGUCGACCCCUAAGGCGAGGCCGAAAGGCGUAGUCGAUGGGAAACAGGUUAAUAUUCCUGUACUUGGUGUUACUGCGAAGGGGGGACGGAGAAGGCUAUGUUAGCCGGGCGACGGUUGUCCCGGUUUAAGCAUGUAGGCUGGUUGUCCAGGCAAAUCCGGAUAAUCAAGGCUGAGGUGUGAUGACGAGGCACUACGGUGCUGAAGUAACAAAUGCCCUGCUUCCAGGAAAAGCCUCUAAGCAUCAGGUAACAUCAAAUCGUACCCCAAACCGACACAGGUGGUCAGGUAGAGAAUACCAAGGCGCUUGAGAGAACUCGGGUGAAGGAACUAGGCAAAAUGGUGCCGUAACUUCGGGAGAAGGCACGCUGGUGUGUAGGUGAAGCCCCUGCGGGUGGAGCUGAGACCAGUCGAAGAUACCAGCUGGCUGCAACUGUUUAUUAAAAACACAGCACUGUGCAAACACGAAAGUGGACGUAUACGGUGUGACGCCUGCCCGGUGCCGGAAGGUUAAUUGAUGGGGUUAUCCGUAAGGAGAAGCUCUUGAUCGAAGCCCCGGUAAACGGCGGCCGUAACUAUAACGGUCCUAAGGUAGCGAAAUUCCUUGUCGGGUAAGUUCCGACCUGCACGAAUGGCGUAAUGAUGGCCAGGCUGUCUCCACCCGAGACUCAGUGAAAUUGAACUCGCUGUGAAGAUGCAGUGUACCCGCGGCAAGACGGAAAGACCCCGUGAACCUUUACUAUAGCUUGACACUGAACAUUGAGCCUUGAUGUGUAGGAUAGGUGGGAGGCUUUGAAGCGUGGACGCCAGUCUGCGUGGAGCCAACCUUGAAAUACCACCCUUUAAUGUUUGAUGUUCUAACGUUGGCCCCUUACCGGGGUUGCGGACAGUGUCUGGUGGGUAGUUUGACUGGGGCGGUCUCCUCCCAAAGCGUAACGGAGGAGCACGAAGGUUAGCUAAUCCUGGUCGGACAUCAGGAGGUUAGUGCAAUGGCAUAAGCUAGCUUGACUGCGAGCGUGACGGCGCGAGCAGGUGCGAAAGCAGGUCAUAGUGAUCCGGUGGUUCUGAAUGGAAGGGCCAUCGCUCAACGGAUAAAAGGUACUCCGGGGAUAACAGGCUGAUACCGCCCAAGAGUUCAUAUCGACGGCGGUGUUUGGCACCUCGAUGUCGGCUCAUCACAUCCUGGGGCUGAAGUAGGUCCCAAGGGUAUGGCUGUUCGCCAUUUAAAGUGGUACGCGAGCUGGGUUUAGAACGUCGUGAGACAGUUCGGUCCCUAUCUGCCGUGGGCGCUGGAGAAUUGAGGGGGGCUGCUCCUAGUACGAGAGGACCGGAGUGGACGCAUCACUGGUGUUCGGGUUGUCAUGCCAAUGGCACUGCCCGGUAGCUAAAUGCGGAAGAGAUAAGUGCUGAAAGCAUCUAAGCACGAAACUUGCCCCGAGAUGAGUUCUCCCUGAGACUUUAAGUCUCCUGAAGGAACGUUAAAGACGAUGACGUUGAUAGGCCGGGUGUGUAAGCGCAGCGAUGCGUUGAGCUAACCGGUACUAAUGAACCGUGAGGCUUAACCUU
rnacentral:rRNA from 1 species